AAGAAGGCAGAUGUCCCUAUAUGAAACAAGCAGUAUUUGGCAGGGCGGCCUCAUGCUCCCAUCAGAGGGCAACACAACUUUGAAUGAGAACAAGAAAUCAAACAUCUAGGACUGUGUAGUGCUUCAUAGUUCACAACUGACAUCUUGAUUUUUUUUA